ensembl:lncRNA
GCAAUGCUUUCUGGGACUGGUAGUCUCAUUAGAAGCUAAGCAGAGGUGAGACUACCACUCCCAGAAUGCAUUGCUGCAGGAAUUGAGGCUUCAGUACCAUUCAGUCUUGAUCCAGGUGAGCAAAAUAUAGGUGUUGGCAAGUAUGGUUCUGUGCUCUGGAGCUCCCAGAAUUCAGGGGAAUUUUUGGGAAACUCUUCGUAUUGCAGUCAAAAUGAAACAACAGCACCAGAAACAACAACGGGAAAUCUCUAGUGUGGGCUUUACCAUCCUUGUUGGCCACCGGGGGGCACAACUUCUCCAUUCUAAGAGAGCAGCCUCCACUGUGUGUUGCUGCUACCUACGCUUCUGCAGCCUGGAUUUCGGAAGACACUUGGGAGGGGAAAGCAAAAAGAGAGGAAAACUCCUGGCGUGGAAGAGGGGAAACUCCUUUGCUGAAUGGUUUCUCCAUAUCCAGAGUGGGAAGAGCAGAAAAAGCUUGACACUCUGAGCUCUUUUGGGUGACUCAUCCUGGAGUGUCCUUUGGGCAGCAGUAGAUUUGGACACAUUUAUGUUUGAAGAAACAGCUGUGUGUUAUGUGGGUGUCAGAGGAAAAUACAUUCACACACGUGCACACGCGUGCGCGCACACACACACACAUCACGUGCACACGCACACACACACACUUAAGUAUCAGAUAAAACCCACUGCAAAGGUAAGUAUGAAAAUGCUCCAGAGAUCAAAGGACUAGAAAAGGACUAAUUACACAUUAAAAAAAACACAACAGAUUUUAUUUGCACCUGAGGCAUUGUUUCUUCUGGUACGAAAACUGUUCCUGGUAUAAUCUCUGUUUCUAGUAUUUGUGUUCCUGCAAAACCCAGUAUACCCUGUUUGACCAGAAGACCAGAGAGGAGAACAAAAGAAAUUUGUGCAGAGUUAUGCCACCUUCAGCUAGAAUGACUGUCUGUCUCCAGUCUACAAGGAGUGCCAUGUUGGUUCUGCCAAGUGGCUGUUUCCCUAAAGGAUGUGUCUGCCAUACUGUAUUUUGUUAUAGGUGAUUCUCAGUUUAUUCUGAAUUUUGCAUACACUGAGUGAAGGCUCUAGUGAAUCAUUGUGUCUCCCUGCAUUAUAAUACCAAUAUAAUGCCCAUCUUCCAAGUUGCUUUUAGGGCCAGACCUAUCAUUAGAGAGAAUGAAGUAGCUAUCUCACACAACAUAACUUUUGUUCCUUCAGUAAAGUUAUGGCCUGUUUAAUCUCACUUAUGACUGUUUGAUCCUCCUACGACAAUGCAAAUGUAAUACAAUGUUCAUCUAACCAGUAAUUUGUGAUUCAGCCUCAGGGUGAGAGAACAAAAGGGAAAAGGAAGGCAUUUAGUUGGGUAAUUCAGUUACAGAAUAUCUUAGAGGAAAAAAAGGGAAAGUAGAAGAAGAUGAGGGGGAAAUUACUGAAGAGCGUGGGUAAGUGUAUUCCGUGGGUGGUAAGUUUUUUUUUUCAUUCUCUAAAAAGGCAGAAAAGGAAACAAAGAUGAAGUAGAGGAAAAAAUGAAAUGUGAAACUGGUACAAAUGUAAAUGAGACGUAACCAAUAUAUGCUCUGACAUAGCAGUGACUAAGUGUGUGUUCCCUUUGACCUACUUAACAGGGCCCCCCAAAAAUGCAGCAGGCAACUUUUUUGUUAUCCAAAAGUUUCUGACUUAUAAAAUAAGACUUUUUAAAAAAAUAGAAAACUUGAAAAUUGGGUCUUUGGUCACAGCUCAGCAUUUCUGAAGUCCAGAUCAGAUCUCUCACAGAUCAAACUACAUUGCAGAAUGACUAAUGGUAGGAUGACUAAUUCCCAUCUUCCCUCCAAAACUCCAUUUUAUAGUGGCCCAGAAAACAGAAUUGUCAAGAUGCUGUUAUCUCAUCCUUGGUUCUGCCAUUAAAACUUUGCUGUGCUUUAAAAGCUUCAUAUGGGAUUGCCUGCAUACCGCCAAAUAAGGGCAAUCCAUUAGGCUCCCGGAUAUAAUGAAUUUGUUUUAUAAAAUAGCAGGUCUGAGCUGGGACUGGAUGACAGCAGGGGUAAAAUAACAUACUGUUUCAGAAGAUGGUUGGUUUAGAACAACAUUCGACAAACAGACCAGUGAGUGAAAUCCAGAGAGAGACUAUUUAUUAUAUAUAUAUAUACAUCCUAAUAUUAGAUACAGUGGGGUGGGGUACUUUGGGUCCUCUCACUGUUUGGGAUCAGAAUUCCCAUAGUCCAGACAUGGUGCCUGAGUCGUAAGUCAAGGCCCCAUUCGCAAGUCGAAGCAACAUUUUGCGAACGGAUCCGUUUAUAACUUGAAACGUUUGCUAGUUGAGACGUUUGUAAGUCGAGGUACCACUGUAUUUCCUACAGUGAACCCAUUUUCCCUUCCACAAUGUGAUUUCUUUAGAGACACACACCUCAACAAGACCUGUGGGUAAGGAAAAUUAUGACAGACUUUGUUUCACCAUUUGGGGAAGAACUCUGGGAAAUAAUAAUAUGUAUUUUUCAAAAUGUAAUAAAUUUAUCCAUCUGGUUUGAUCCCCA